rnacentral:rRNA from 1 species
UACGGAGGAUGCAAGCGUUAUCCGGAUUCAUUGGGUUUAAAGGGUGCGCAGGUGGGAAAAUAAGUCAGUGGUGAAAUACUGCCGCUUAACGGUAGAAUUGCCAUUGAUACUGUUUUUCUUGAGUAUGGUUGAGGUAGGUGGAAUGUGUUGUGUAGCGGUGAAAUGCAUAGAUAUGACACAGAACGCCGAUUGCGAAGGCAACUUACUAAGCCAUUACUGACGCUGAGGCACGAAAGCGUGGGGAUCAAACAGG